CCUACGGGAGGCAGCAGUGGGGAAUAUUGGGCAAUGGACGCAAGUCUGACCCAGCAACGCCGCGUGAAGGAAGAAGGCUUUCGGGUUGUAAACUUCUUUUAAGGGGGAAGAGCAGAAGACGGUACCCCUUGAAUAAGCAACGGCUAACUACGUGCCAGCAGCCGGCGUAAUACGUAGGUGGCAAGCGUUGUCCGGAUUUACUGGGUGUAAAGGGCGUGCAGCCGGAGAGACAAGUCAGGUGUGAAAGCCACGGGCUCAACCCGUGAACUGCAUUUGAAACUGUUUCCCUUGAGUGUCGGAGAGGUAAUCGGAAUGCCUUGUGUAGCGGUGAAAUGCGUAGAUAUAAGGAAGAACACCAGUGGCGAAGGCGGAUUACUGGACGAUAACUGACGGUGAGGCGCGAAAGCGUGGGGAGCAAACAGGAUUAGAUACCCCGGUAGUC
rnacentral:rRNA from 1 species